UAAGGAAUAUUGGUCAAUGGACGCAAGUCUGAACCAGCCAUGCCGCGUGAAGGAUGAAGGUCCUCUGGAUUGUAAACUUCUUUUAUAGGGGACGAAAAAAGGGAAUUCUUUCUCGUCUGACGGUACCCUAGGAAUAAGCACCGGCUAACUCCGUGCCAGCAGCCGCGGUAAUACGGAGGGUGCAAGCGUUAUUCGGAUUUACUGGGUUUAAAGGGAGCGUAGGUGGGUCUGUAAGUCAGUGGUGAAAUCUCCGAGCUUAACUCGGAAACUGCCAUUGAUACUAUAGGUCUUGGAUAUUCUGGAGGUAAGCGGAAUAUGUCAUGUAGCGGUGAAAUGCUUAGAUAUGACAUAGAACACCGAUUGCGAAGGCAGCUCACAAAACUGUAACUGACACUGAGGCUCGAAAGUGCGGGGAUCAAACA
rnacentral:rRNA from 1 species